ACGGCUCAGUAACACGUGGUCAUUCUACCCUAUGGUGGAGAAUAUCCCCGGAAAACUGGGACUAAUACUCCAUAGGUGAGAUGUAUUGGAAUCAUCAUCUCAUCGAAAGAUCCGUCGCCAUAGGAUGAGACUGCGUCCGAUUAGGUAGUUGUUGGGGUAUGUGCCCACCAAGCCGAUAAUCGGUACGGGUUGUGGGAGCAAAAGCCCGGAGAUGGACUCUGAAACACGAGUCCAGGCCCUACGGGGCGCAGCAGGCGCGAAACCUUUACCAUGCGGGCAACCGUGAUAAGGAAACCCCGAGUGGAUGAAAAGUCAUCCUGUCCAUCAGUCUAGAAAGCUGGUGAAGAAAGGGCCGGGCAAGACCGGUGCCAGCCGCCGCGGUAAUACCGGCGGCUCGAGUGGUGGCCACUAUUACUGGGCUUAAAGGGUCCGUAGCUUGCAUGAUAAGCCUCUUGAGAAAUCCACUGGCUUAACCAAUGGUCGUUCUGGAGGAACUGUCAUGCUAGGGACCGGGAGAGGUAAGGGGUACUGCCGGGGUAGGAGUGAAAUCCUGUAAUCCCGGUGGGACCACCGGUGGCGAAGGCGCCAUACCAGAACGGCUCCGACAGUGAGGGACGAAAGCUGGGGGAGCGAACCGGAUUAGAUACCCGGGUAGUCCCAGCCGUAAACAAUGCGCGUUAGGUGUGUCUGUGACCACGUGUCACUGAGGUGCCGAAGGGAAACCGUGAAACGCGCCGCCUGGGAAGUACGGUCGCAAGGCUGAAACUUAAAGGAAUUGGCGGGGGAG
rnacentral:rRNA from 1 species